rnacentral:rRNA from 1 species
UACGUAGGCAGCGAGCGUUGUUCGGAGUUAUUGGGCGUAAAGCGCACGUAGGCGGCUUUGUAAGUUAGAGGUGAAAGCCCGGGGCUCAACUCCGGAAUUGCCUUUAAGACUGCAUCGCUAGAAUUGUGGAGAGGUGAGUGGAAUUCCGAGUGUAGAGGUGAAAUUCGUAGAUAUUCGGAAGAACACCAGUGGCGAAGGCGACUCACUGGACACAUAUUGACGCUGAGGUGCGAAAGCGUGGGGAGCAAACAGG